ACUGAGUCUGGUUGUCUUUAUGUUAUCUGAAGAUAUUGGAUAGAUUUUGAAAAUGGAACAGAUGAUUUUUUGUAAAUUCAACAAUUUGGGACAUGGUCAUUGUUAGUGUGCAUCAGGGUGGAAAUAUUUCUGUUGUUGGAAUGAGGAACUGUGGUAUCUAAGCUCUAGUGGAGUUGGAGGAGUUUGCCAUAAAGAUGAGCGGAAUUGUUUGAAGAGGCGUGAGUAAAGAUAUAUUCGGUGGUUUGGUGAGAAUAUUUGAAAUGAGAUUGAGAUGCCCUUUUAUUUGUUGAACAGUAUAGAUGAAUUUAUCAAACUAGCUUUUGAGCCUCAACAAUUGUGAUUCUGGAAGAGUCUAAUUUUUGAAAUGAAGGACCUUUGG
rnacentral:misc_RNA from 1 species